UACGUAGGGGGGCUAGCGUUGUCCGGAAUCAUUGGGGCGUAAAGAGCGUGUAGGCGGCCCGGUAAGUCCGCUGUAAAAGUCAAAGGCUCAACCUUUGAAUGUCAGUGGAUACUGUCGGGGCUAGAGUCCGGAAGAGGCGAGUGGGAACUCCUGGUGUAGCGGUGGAAUGCGCAGAUAUCAGGAGGAACACCGAUGGCGAAGGCAGGGUCUCUGGGCCAUAACUGACGCUGAGAAGCGAAAGCAUGGGGAGCGAACAGG
rnacentral:rRNA from 1 species